ensembl:lncRNA
UUUUCGACCAAACCAGAAUACGAAGCCAGUAAAUUGUUCAUCUGCUCUCCGGCUCCCUGAUUGGCCGCUGUGCAGAACGCUCGAGCCACCUUGAACGAGAAGCAAUGGUAACCAGGCAACUUCAUGGUGGUGGGGGGGAAUUAAGAAGAUAAGAAUAUAGAAUCCGAAUUUGAGAAUCCCGCUAAACACGUAGAAGCAGAGGAAGUGUGACGCUGUGCCACCGAUGGGAUUAAUCACUGGAUUGUUUCCCUCUUACCCUCAUAACGACGCUCUGGUGGAGCAUGGAGCUCAGCUGAGGGACAGACGCUGAUUUAAAGGCAUAAAUGGGACCCCCCAGAAGAGGAACCUUGCGCUUUUUGAAGACCAACGCUGAGCUGGGGGAAGACAGGCUAAUGCAGGAGCACUUCAGAGGGGCUGCUCCUCCCUGGCCUCUGCCCAGCCAGGGCUGACCGCCUCAGCAGCUACAGCCCAGCUGAGUGCCCGGCUCCAAGGUCUGGUUGGACAUAAAUCAGAACAGUAACAAACAGAAAAUACCCCAGCAACUGUGUGUUGGCACUGCUGGCACAGUUGGCCAGCUGUAUUCACUGAGCAUCAUGCUUACUACCGAGAGGUGAGAUCACAGUCUGGGUUUAACAGAUUAACUAACCCUAACUGUUAUUUAUGCCUUUCCCUCUCUGCACACGGUGGCUGUUGCAUUGUGGGAAGGCCCUCCAUCUUGUCAGAAUAUAGGGUGAGG